rnacentral:tRNA from 1 species
UCGGCGACCGGUACGGGCACCGGCGGCUGCUGGUCGCCGGAGUCCUCGGUUUCGGCGCCGCGUCGGCGGGC